GGAGGAGCUUGUUUAGGUGCACAUGUUGCUUGUUCAAAAGUUGUUCUAGUCGUUCAACAGAAAACUCAGAUCGGACAGAUAGUCUAGCUAGCUGUCUGGAUUUACCCUGCAGAGAUCUGAGGAGCAGUUCACCACAGUCCUUAUAAAUCGACCGGAGUUUAGAACACCAACACAAAAAAGUGGAAAGUGACAGACAUCCGGCCAAGAUGAGGGACAUCUGUCGAAAUUUCGGGCGGCACCUGAACAACCCUGGAUGUGGAACGUCGUCGAUAUAGAUUAGAUAUAAUGUAAAGGCACUUUAUAGUAAUAACAAAAC